rnacentral:rRNA from 1 species
UACGUAGGGUGCGAGCGUUGUCCGGAAUUAUUGGGCGUAAAGAGCGUGUAGGCGGUCCGGUAAGUCAGCUGUGAAAGUCAAGGGCUCAACCCUUGAAUGCCGGUUGAUACUGUCGGGCUAGAGUCCGGAAGAGGCGAGUGGAAUUCCCGGUGUAGCGGUGAAAUGCGCAGAUAUCGGGAGGAACAUCCGUGGCGAAGGCGGCUCUCUGGUACGGUAUUGACGCUGAGACGCGAAAGCGUGGGGAGCGAACAGG